rnacentral:rRNA from 1 species
CAGUAGCCACGGGAAUACGUAGGGUGCAAGCGUUAAUCGGAAUUACUGGGCGUAAAGCGUGCGCAGGCGGUUAUAUAAGACAGAUGUGAAAUCCCCGGGCUCAACCUGGGAACUGCAUUUGUGACUGUAUAGCUAGAGUACGGCAGAGGGGGAUGGAAUUCCGCGUGUAGCAGUGAAAUGCGUAGAUAUGCGGAGGAACACCGAUGGCGAAGGCAAUCCCCUGGGCCUGUACUGACGCUCAUGCACGAAAGCGUGGGGAGCAAACAGGAUUAGAUACCCCCGUAGUCCCUGUCUCUUAUCC